rnacentral:rRNA from 1 species
GAUGAACGCUAGCGGCAGGCCUAAUACAUGCAAGUCGAACGGGAUCCAGAUCAAAGCUUGCUUUGGUUUGGUGAGAGUGGCGUACGGGUGCGUAACGCGUGAGCAACCUACCCUUGUCAGGGGGAUAGCCCGGCGAAAGUCGGAUUAAUACCGCAUGACAUCAUUGAGAGGCAUCUUUCGAUGAUCAAAGAUUUAUCGGACAAGGAUGGGCUCGCGUGACAUUAGCUAGUUGGUAAGGUAACGGCUUACCAAGGCUACGAUGUCUAGGGGCUCUGAGAGGAGAAUCCCCCACACUGGUACUGAGACACGGACCAGACUCCUACGGGAGGCAGCAGUAAGGAAUAUUGGUCAAUGGACGGAAGUCUGAACCAGCCAUGCCGCGUGCAGGAAGGCGGCCCUAUGGGUUGUAAACUGCUUUUAUACGGGAACAAACGUCGGUACGUGUACCGGUCUGAGUGUACCGUAAGAAUAAGGAUCGGCUAACUCCGUG